rnacentral:miRNA from 1 species
ACAGACGGGCUCUCAUGCUGA